rnacentral:rRNA from 1 species
UGCCAGCCGCCGCGGUAAUACGGAGGGGGCGAGCGUUAAUCGGAAUUACUGGGCGUAAAGCGUGCGUAGGUGGUUUGUUAAGUCAGAUGUGAAAUCCCCGGGCUCAACCUUGGAACUGCAUUUAAUACUGCCAGACUUGAGAUCGGAAGAGGAAAGCGGAAUUUCUAGUGUAGAGGUGAAAUUCGUAGAUAUUAGAAGGAACAUCAGAGGCGAAGGCGGCUUUCUGGUCCGAUACUGACGCUGAGGUACGAAAGCGUGGGGAGCAAACAGGAUUAGAUA